AUUGGCCACUGGCGCUGUCGCGCAUCCCGAACUCCGCGGCCUGACACCGCCUCCCCCGCCGCCUCUCGCCUCUCGCCCGUCGCGGCGGGGGCGCGGGAGGGGAUCCCCGGGGCGCCCCGGGACAGGCGGCCAGCUCGGGAUCGGAAGCGAGCAACAGGCUAGUUCUGCAGAGAACCAUAUCUGUAUUCACAGGACCCAUUUCUACAUAGAGGUUGCAAAAUAGAAGAUGUUAUCAGGAUUGAUGUGGUUGCUCCCAUCUGCUCCCCCAAAUGAUGAGGUCUGCAGUACCAUUGGAAUAAAGUCUACUCCUACAGAACUCUACAGAAACAAUCCAGGAUUCUUUUAUGCUUUUCCAGUCCUCUCUUGUUUUCUUUCCCCUCCGCCCAUACCCACCUCUCAUGGAGCAGAAGUGGAACGGAACUGCCACAUGUAUGCUGAAAAUCCAAAAGCCAAAUUUUGGGCUCGUUUUAUAAAACACUUUGGAUGCAAAUCAGCUUCCUCCGAGAAUAUUUCAGUGUUUCACCUACUAUCCCAAAGAAGACUGCUUAAAAAAAAAAACCUGACAUCUUAUCUGCUACCAUCUGUGUACCCUCAGAGAGUCAACAAGAGAAGAGCAAGGGCCAGAAACCAGAACACAGGUGAAAAUAGGUGGAAACAGCAACAGAAGAUAAGGACAUAUUCACGAUGACAGUAAAUUGCUGACACAGAUGAGGACUGAACUCAGAUCUCCUGUGCCUCACCCUGCUUCCUCCCUCUCUAAGGCUGCAGUGCUGGGAUUCAGCAGGAGCUGUGCAGAGGGCAGGGCUGGGCCCAGAAAGCUGCAGGAAGCUGCAGAGCCAUGAUGUUCUACCCAGUGAAGUUUCCUAUGGGUCUAGGCAGCAGGACCAGCCUUGUGCUGCUUUUUUUUUUGCUUUUUUUUUUAUGUUAUGUUGUUUUCAGCACCUACAAUAGUUUCUUGGCAAUUUCUAUUUCUAGCAUAGUGCAUCUAUAUGAGCAACCUCCCAUAGCUCUCUGCCAGUCUCUCAUCUGUAGGUUCUGGACACUGGAACAUCACACAGCACUGAGGAACCUCCAGGUGAAGUAAAACCAACAUGUGUUGCUUCUCUAACAGUACCUAAACUUUACACCUGACUGACAACAGGUUUCACUACUAUAAGAUCCCAUACAGAAUUAUUUGGAAAGGCAGGGAGCAGUGGCAGAGUUGUUCUAGAGGACAGAAUGUGCUUUUGAAACAACAGACAAGACUAUCAGAAAAUCAAAGGGGAAUAGAGAAAUGAGAAUGGGGAGAGAACAGAAUUAAGUGUACUGACUGAGCCUGAAACAAGUUUACAUAAGGCUUGAUGGUGACACACUUCUUCUUAAGUUAAUGCUAUGUUAGUAUAUGUAGGGUAAAUUAUUACUGACUUGAGGGCAUCAAAAUCACACUCAUCAGGCUUUAAAAGUAAGAAAGCUACUGUCUGGAAACAUCACUGAAAUUAACAGUCAGUUAAACUGUUUUAGCAUAGGCAAACAGGUCAACCUGCUUUGAAUUUGUUAAGCAGCAAUGCUUUGAAAUGGCUGUGGUUGAUGCUUUUAAGAGUGAUUCACAGAUAUGCUUUAGAAGCUAUGCUUGAAUUAAGAAAGAAAAGGGAACUGCAUAUUAAAUGUAUUCCAAAAGAGAGAGCACACCCAAAUUUAGCUUCAACUUUUCUUUUUCAGUCAUCUGGCAGCAAUGGGAAGCCACGAUGGGUACAAUCAUCUCAUGUAGCUUAAGCUGCCCAAAAAAGGAAAAGAAAAGUUAAGAAAAAGCUAUGCACUGUAUUUUGUCUCUAAAAUAUUUAUAGGCAAAGCACUAAUAUCUAGCCAUCUGUUAUGUUGCAUCUCAUGGUUCCUCCAGGUAAAUAAAAUAUUUGUUCAAUGAACUCA
rnacentral:lncRNA from 1 species